rnacentral:rRNA from 1 species
GCUCGUAGUUGGAUUUUGGGCGCAGGCGGCCGGUCCGUCGCAAGGCGUGUACUGGCCGUCCUGGCCUCACCUCCGGUUCUCCGCCGGUGCCCUUGACUGAGUGUCGGCGGCGGCCGGAACGUUUACUUUGAAAAAAUUAGAGUGUUCAAAGCAGGCGAUUCGCCUGAAUAAUGGUGCAUGGAAUAAUGGAAUAGGACCUCGGUUCUAUUUUGUUGGUUUUCGGAGCGCGAGGUAAUGAUUAAGAGGGACAGACGGGGGCAUUCGUACUGUGCCGUUAGAGGUGAAAUUCUUGGAUCGGCGCAAGACGAACGACUGCGAAAGCAUUUGCCAAGAAUGUUUUCUUUAAUCAAGAGCGAAAGUCAGAGGUUCGAAGACGAUCAGAUACCGUCCUAGUUCUGACUAUAAACGAUGCCAACUAGCGAUCGGGGGGCGUUAGUUUUACGACCUCUCCGGCAGCUUGCGGGAAACCAAAGUCUUUGGGUUCCGGGGGAAGUAUGGUUGCAAAGCUGAAACUUAAAGGAAUUGACGGAAGGGCACCACCAGGAGUGGAGCCUGCGGCUUAAUUUGACUCAACACGGGAAAUCUCACCCGGCCCGGACACAGUGAGGAUUGACAGAUUGAGAGCUCUUUCUUGAUUCUGUGGGUGGUGGUGCAUGGCCGUUCUUAGUUGGUGGAGCGAUUUGUCUGGUUAAUUCCGAUAACGAACGAGACUCUGGCUUGCUAACUAGUUACGCGACCCAAUCGGUCGGCGUCUAACUUCUUAGAGGGACUAGUGGCGUUUAGCCACACGAGAUUGAGCAAUAACAGGUCUGUGAUGCCCUUAGAUGUUCGGGGCCGCACGCGCGCUACACUGACCGGAUCAGCAUGUGCUCGCCUUGGCCGACAGGUCUGGGUAACCCGCUGAACCCCGGUCGUGCUAGGGAUAGGGAAUUGCAAUUAUU